AAGUCGUAACAAGGUUUCCGUAGGUGAACCUGCGGAAGGAUCAUUAUAGUAUUUUUGCUUAAUUGCAAAUUAUUCACACAUGUUUCUUUAAGAGAAAAACCACUUUACACCGAUAACUUUUAUUUAAUUAUACAAGUCAUUAAAUUUACUAAUAAUCAAAACUUUCAACAACGGAUCUCUUGGUUCUC
rnacentral:misc_RNA from 1 species